rnacentral:rRNA from 1 species
GUCGGAUUAGCUAGUUGGUGGGGUAAAGGCUCACCAAGGCGACGAUCCGUAGCGGGUCUGAGAGGAUGAUCCGCCACACUGGGACUGAGACACGGCCCAGACUCCUACGGGAGGCAGCAGUGGGGAAUUUUGGACAAUGGGCGCAAGCCUGAUCCAGCCAUGCCGCGUGAGUGAAGAAGGCCUUCGGGUUGUAAAGCUCUUUCGGCCGGGAAGAAAUCGCACUCUCUAACAUAGGGUGUGGAUGACGGUACCGGACUAAGAAGCACCGGCUAACUACGUGCCAGCAGCCGCGGUAAUACGUAGGGUGCGAGCGUUAAUCGGAAUUACUGGGCGUAAAGCGUGCGCAGGCGGUUUUGUAAGACAGAUGUGAAAUCCCCGGGCUUAACCUGGGAACUGCGUUUGAAACUACAAAGCUAG